rnacentral:lncRNA from 1 species
UCCUUAGCUUAGACAACUUUUGGCCUUCUGCCACUGCCGCUCUAGCUUCUGCCACCACCGUUCAUCAAGUCGCAUCACCCACUUGUCGCCAUCAAUUACCUGCAACAAAGAAGCAAACACGCAAGCAUCAAUAGCAGAGAAAAAUAGAAGUAAAAUCGGCUAUAAAGAGGCCGAAUAUCAUCUUUGUAUUUCUUCUUCCCAUUUUUGGUAACAAAAAAAAAACAGAUAUUAGCAAAAAAGAAAUAAAAACAAGAAAAUUUGAGAGGUGAUUUUCUCUCAUUUAUAUUUAGAUUUUUAACUCUAUUUUCGUUUUUUUUCUUCUCUUUGUAUGUUUUUUCCAUAGCAAAAAUAAAAGAAAAAGAAAAACCUUACUUGCGCCGCGCCGGAGGAGGAGGAGGCGAACGGUUUGCCCAUCGAUUUUGGGCAUUGGGCUCAUCUUUCUCGAAGUUCCACCAUGGAUUCGUGUCCUAGGGGCGUUUAACUUCAAAAUAGACUAAAAAAGAUCCGGUUUUGCACCUCCGACCGCCGCCUAAGGCGGUGCUACGGCGGAGGAGCACCGGCAACCUAGGCCGGACCUUGGCCGGAUUUGAGAGAGGGGUGGGAGCCUUCU